GUGGGGAAUUUUGGACAAUGGGCGCAAGCCUGAUCCAGCAAUGCCGCGUGCAGGAAGAAGGCCUUCGGGUUGUAAACUGCUUUUGUACGGAACGAAACGGUCCGGGUUAAUACCCUGGGCUAAUGACGGUACCGUAAGAAUAAGCACCGGCUAACUACGUGCCAGCAGCCGCGGUAAUACGUAGGGUGCAAGCGUUAAUCGGAAUUACUGGGCGUAAAGCGUGCGCAGGCGGUUUUGUAAGACAGGCGUGAAAUCCCCGGGCUCAACCUGGGAAUUGCGCUUGUGACUGCAGUGCUGGAGUGCGGCAGAGGGGGAUGGAAUUCCGCGUGUAGCAGUGAAAUGCGUAGAUAUGCGGAGGAACACCGAUGGCGAAGGCAAUCCCCUGGGCCUGCACUGACGCUCAUGCACGAAAGCGUGGGGAGCAAACAGGAUUAGAAACCCCGGUAGUCC
rnacentral:rRNA from 1 species